GGCUGAUGGCGACCGGCGCACGGGUGAGUAACACGUAUCCAACCUGCCGUCUACUCUUGGCCAGCCUUCUGAAAGGAAGAUUAAUCCAGGAUGGGAUCAUGAGUUCACAUGUCCGCAUGAUUAAAGGUAUUUUCCGGUAGACGAUGGGGAUGCGUUCCAUUAGAUAGUAGGCGGGGUAACGGCCCACCUAGUCAACGAUGGAUAGGGGUUCUGAGAGGAAGGUCCCCCACAUUGGAACUGAGACACGGUCCAAACUCCUACGGGAGGCAGCAGUGAGGAAUAUUGGUCAAUGGGCGAUGGCCUGAACCAGCCAAGUAGCGUGAAGGAUGACUGCCCUAUGGGUUGUAAACUUCUUUUAUAAAGGAAUAAAGUCGGGCAUGCAUACCCGUUUGCAUGUACUUUAUGAAUAAGGAUCGGCUAACUCCGUGCCAGCAGCCGCGGUAAUACGGAGGAUCCGAGCGUUAUCCGGAUUUAUUGGGUUUAAAGGGAGCGUAGAUGGAUGUUUAAGUCAGCUGUGAAAGUUUGCGGCUCAACCGUAAAAUUGCAGUUGAUACUGGAUGUCUUGAGUGCAGUUGAGGCAGGCGGAAUUCGUGGUGUAGCGGUGAAAUGCUUAGAUAUCACGAAGAACUCCGAUUGCGAAGGCAGCCUGCUAAGCUGCAACUGACAUUGAGGCUCGAAAGUGUGGGUAUCAAACAGG
rnacentral:rRNA from 1 species